rnacentral:rRNA from 1 species
AGCUCCAAUAGCGUAUAUUAAAGUUGUUGCGGUUAAAAGCUCGUAGUUGGAUUUCUGUUGAGGACAGCCGGUCCGCACUAUGUGCGUGUAUCUGGUUUGGCCUUGGCAUCCUCUUGGGAACAGUGCUGCGCUUGAUUGCGUGGACUGGUAUUCAAGACUUUUACUUUGAGGAAAUUAGAGUGUUCACGGCAGGCAAUCGCCUUGAAUACAUUAGCAUGGAAUAAUAAUAUAGGACUGUGGUUCUAUUUUGUUGGUUUCUAGAACUCCAGUAAUGAUUAAUAGGGAUAAUUGGGGGCAUUCGUAUUAACACGUCAGAGGUGGAAUUCUUGGAUUGUGUUACGACGAACUACUGCGAAAGCAUUUGCCAAGGAUGUUUUCA